CAAAGACCUUAUUUCCAAGUAAGGUCACAUUCACAGGUUGUGGAGCUUAGGACUUCAACAAAGCUUUUUGGGAGACACAAUCCAACACAUGCAGUCCUCCUAUGAGAUGGGUAGUAAUAUUAUUCCCAUUUUACACAUGAGGAAACUGAACACAGAGAAGAUAAUAUGCUUGUCGAGGGUGAGCCAUCCAGCUCCAAAGUCUGUGCUUUUCUCAAGACGCUGUGAUAAAUGUUAGGUGUCUCAUGUGCCAGGCUCAGUGCCAGUGGCUGGAGACACAAGUACGGGCAAGAGAGAAUCUCUCCUUCCCCAAAAUUACAGCAGAAAAGAGGGAAUAAAACAAUAGCCCAUGUAAUUCAAAGCAGAAAGCUCUAAGAGUUAUCAGAGAGAUUGAACAGAAUGCUAAGGAAAUGAGAAAUUACAUCACAGAGAAAUAGAAUCCAACCUGGACAUUUAACCGGUGAUGGUGGGAGCAGACGACGUGGCAGACAAAACAGCACAAGCAAAGGCAGAGGGAUGGGGAAGACUGAACAUGUUCUCAGCAAGAGGGAGGGAGUGAAGUGCGGCAGUGUGAAAAGUGAGAUACGACGCUGGAAAAGCAAGUUGGGGCCUCAUGACAGAAGGCCAUACGACAGAUAACAGCAGUACUAAUCAUGGUGCCCUCAUUUCAUGCCAGGGGCAAAACUCUGACACUGGCACUGUCCAAUUGAUGGCAAAUUCCAGAAGAAGCAAAAACAGAGAAGGAAGACCGUGUACCCAGCGUUAAGAACACAAGCUCUGGGGCCAGAGAGAUACACACGGGUUUCCGCCAACUCCAGACAAGUCACUCCACCUCUCUAAGCCUCCGUGACCUCUUCUUCAAAUCACGAUUCAAACAGCGCCUCUGGAUACGAGGCCGGGUCUGAGGAUUCAGCAAGCUCACGCUAACAAAGCCCUUAGCACAAUGCCUCUCACACCAAAUGAUCGAUGCUGGAAGUGAUGUUGCUGCUUCUGCUGCUGAUGGUGCUGACUUCCACGAUGCUGGGCUGGUCCCUUCCUUCUCGCUCCUCCCAUAACCUUGCCUCUGUUUCCAUAAUGCUUUCCUAGCAUUGGGGUUAGCCGUGAAUAAAAGAGUUUUUCAGUAGUUGUGGUGCUGAUUA
rnacentral:lncRNA from 1 species